rnacentral:rRNA from 1 species
AUUGAACGCUGGCGGCAGGCUUAACACAUGCAAGUCGAGCGGGGUGAUGGUGCUUGCACUAUCACUUAGCGGCGGACGGGUGAGUAAUGCUUAGGAAUCUGCCUAUUAGUGGGGGACAACAUUUCGAAAGGAAUGCUAAUACCGCAUACGUCCUACGGGAGAAAGCAGGGGAUCUUCGGACCUUGCGCUAAUAGAUGAGCCUAAGUCGGAUUAGCUAGUUGGUGGGGUAAAGGCCUACCAAGGCGACGAUCUGUAGCGGGGCUGAGAGGAUGAUCCGCCACACUGGGACUGAGACACGGCCCAGACUCCUACGGGAGGCAGCAGUGGGGAAUAUUGGACAAUGGGCGCAAGCCUGAUCCAGCCAUGCCGCGUGUGUGAAGAAGGCCUUAUGGUUGUAAAGCACUUUAAGCGAGGAGGAGGCUACUUUAGUUAAUACCUAGAGAUAGUGGACGUUACUCGCAGAAUAAGCACCGGCUAACUCUGUGCCAGCCGCCGCGGUAAUAC